GCAUAGGUUUUUAAGAAAAUGGCAGGCCCCUCCGCCUGGCUCUCUCAUAGUGUCCCAUGCAGAGCAACUGUGGCCUUGAACCAUUGCCUGGCCUCUGCCUGUGGGCUGGCUACAGGCACUGAGGCAGGUUGCACAGUG